CUACGGAGGGUGCAAGCGUUAAUCGGAAUUACUGGGCGUAAAGCGUACGUAGGCGGUUAGUUAAGUUAGAUGUGAAAGCCCCGGGCUUAACCUGGGAACUGCAUUUAAAACUGGCUAACUAGAGUUAAGUAGAGGGGAGUGGAAUUUCAGGUGUAGCGGUGAAAUGCGUAGAGAUCUGAAGGAACACCAGUGGCGAAGGCGACUCCCUGGACUUGAACUGACGUUGAGGUACGAAAGCGUGGGUAGCAAACGGGAUUAGAAACCCUAGUAGUCC
rnacentral:rRNA from 1 species